rnacentral:rRNA from 1 species
CCUACGGGGGGCAGCAGUGGGGAAUAUUGGACAAUGGGGGGAACCCUGAUCCAGCCGUGCCGCGUGUGUGAAGAAGGCCCUCGGGGUGUAAAGCACUUUCAGUGAGGAAGAACGCCUGGUGGUUAAUACCCAUCAGGAAAGACAUCACUCACAGAAGAAGCACCGGCUAACUCCGUGCCAGCAGCCGCGGUAAUACGGAGGGUGCGAGCGUUAAUCGGAAUUACUGGGCGUAAAGCGCGCGUAGGUGGCUUGAUAAGCCGGUUGUGAAAGCCCCGGGCUCAACCUGGGAACGGCAUCCGGAACUGUCAAGCUAGAGUGCAGGAGAGGAAGGUAGAAUUCCCGGUGUAGCGGUGAAAUGCGUAGAGAUCGGGAGGAAUACCAGUGGCGAAGGCGGCCUUCUGGACUGACACUGACACUGAGGUGCGAAAGCGUGGGUAGCAAACAGGAUUAGAUACCCUUGUAGUC